ACUCCUACGGGAGGCAGCAGUGGGGAAUCUUGGACAAUGGGCGCAAGCCUGAUCCAGCCAUGCCGCGUGAGUGAUGAAGGCCCUAGGGUCGUAAAGCUCUUUUCGCCAGAGAUGAUAAUGACAGUAUCUGGUAAAGAAACCCCGGCUAACUCCGUGCCAGCAGCCGCGGUAAUACGAGGGGGUUAGCGUUGUUCGGAAUUACUGGGCGUAAAGCGCGCGUAGGCGGACUGGAAAGUUGGGGGUGAAAUCCCGGGGCUCAACCCCGGAACUGCCUCCAAAACUAUCAGUCUAGAGUUCGAGAGAGGUGAGUGGAAUUCCGAGUGUAGAGGUGAAAUUCGUAGAUAUUCGGAGGAACACCAGUGGCGAAGGCGGCUCACUGGCUCGAUACUGACGCUGAGGUGCGAAAGUGUGGGGAGCAAACAGGAUUAGAUACCCUGGUAGCGUCGUC
rnacentral:rRNA from 1 species